AUCGCUUCUCGGCCUUUUGGCUAAGAUCAAGUGUAGAAUAUCUUAUGCAAUUAAUUGAAUGUUAUAAUGAAAGUGAAACAUAGAAGUGUUGUAAGAGUGCAGAUUGAUUGUGCACGUUAGUUAUUUACCCUCAUGAUU
rnacentral:snRNA from 1 species